rnacentral:lncRNA from 1 species
CCCUGUCCGUGCCACCCGCCGCGUCCUUCCCCUCGAGCUCUGCCCCGGGGGCCCCGCCACCUCGCAGUGCCAUCCCCCCGGCGCAGCCGGGCGCCACUCGCUUUGAAGUGCAGACGAGGAGGCGCGGGCGCGAGCGUGUGUGUCUGUGGGGCUGCUGUGGGACUGUCUGUGCUAGGAGAGCGGCGGAAAACCCGGCGUGGAGCGCCUGCAGUCCGCCGUCCGGGGUCGCGCCCGCCGCGGGGCUCAGGAGGGACCGGCACGCAGGCGCGCACGGCCGCGCACCUGUCUCGCUAGAACCCCGCGCGCCCCGCCGAGCCACUGCCCUCCAGGUUGCCCAGACCGCUGGAGCCUCUGCGACUCCACGACCGGCUGCUUCCUGCGAAGUUUCACAAACAAGGUUAUUUAGGACCCUCAAGGUUUCUGAGGGUUUAAGUUUUAGGGUUUCUGGGGGUUCGUUUCUAAAGGCUUAGGAUUCACCUACUUCAAGGAGGCAGGGUUGUGGGAAUUAAGACCGCAUUCUUUUUCUACCCAGCCCAGUCCCUACUAAGUACCAGACUUCUAAAUGUUGGGGCGGACAGAAACAAGCAAACAAAAUAUACAAUGUUGUGGGGUCGGAACGCUUUAUAAUUCACAAAUUUGACAAUAGGCUGCAUUUUCAUAUGCCGAAUUGCCUAAGAGUUCUCUUAAAGGAACAGCAAUGUGAAAGAACCACAUGGUAAGGAGAAUUUACGCAUGUCCUGCAUACUACUCCUUUCCCCUGUGAAUUGCAUAAGACCUAGAUGAUCUUGGGCCAAGGAAGAAAAUCUGGAAGGGUGUUUCUACCCACCAUGUGCAGAGUACACUACAAUUUUGAGAAAACGGAAAGACCAUAUUCAAAGGCAUACAGAAAAGCCUGUUCUGUUUACAAAGGCUGACCCAGGGCACCAGGGACACUGUCCCUAAGCAGAUCAGUUGUGGGAGAACUUUUCUACAUUAGCAUGCAAUAAGCAAACCAUUCAUAGUGAGGAGAAGUCAAACUCCCAAGGGUCCAUUUGAUAAAACUUUGUCAUUGUCGAGUGGAAAGAAGAUACUGAGAAACUUACACUAAGUGGUGGGAUCCCUUGUCUUUGUCUUUGAAUCUACAGGUAUUGGAGAAGAAAUUCUGCCCUUGAAAUUUAGACUCCAUAAAUUAACAUGGCACAACAAAUAAAG